UGGGGAAUUUUGGACAAUUGGGCGAAAGCCUGAUCCAGCAAUGCCGCGUGUGUGAAGAAGGCCUUCGGGUUGUAAAGCACUUUUGUCCGGAAAGAAAUCCUUGGCUCUAAUACAGUCGGGGGAUGACGGUACCGGAAGAAUAAGCACCGGCUAACUACGUGCCAGCAGCCGCGGUAAUACGUAGGGUGCAAGCGUUAAUCGGAAUUACUGGGCGUAAAGCGUGCGCAGGCGGUUUGCUAAGACCGAUNUGAAUCCCCGGGCUCAACCUGGGAACUGCAUUGGUGACUGGCAGGCUAGAGUAUGGCAGAGGGGAGUAGAAUUCCCACGUGUAGCAGUGAAAUGCGUAGAGAUGUGGAGGAAUACCGAUGGCGAAGGCAGCCCCCUGGGCCAAUACUGACGCUCAUGCACGAAAGCGUGGGGAGCAAACAGGAUUAGAUACCCUGGUAGUCCACGCCCUAAACGAUGUCAACUAGUUGUUGGGGAUUCAUUUUCCUUAGUAACGUAGCUAACGCGUGAAGUUGACC
rnacentral:rRNA from 1 species